rnacentral:rRNA from 1 species
AUACUGAAGGUGCAAGCGUUAAUCGGAAUUACUGGGCGUAAAGCGCGCGUAGGCGGUUUGGUCAGUCAGAUGUGAAAGCCCCGGGCUCAACCUGGGAACUGCAUUUGAAACUGCCAAACUAGAGUAUGUUAGAGGGAAGUGGAAUUUCUGGUGUAGCGGUGAAAUGCGUAGAUAUCAGAAGGAACACCAAUGGCGAAGGCAACUUCCUGGGACAAUACUGACGCUGAGGUGCGAAAGCGUGGGGAGCAAACGGGAUUAGAUACCCUAGUAGUCC